ensembl:lncRNA
CCCCAUGUCAGCCCACGUGUCUCAGGGGACAGAGCUGGCCCUGUGGGCAUCUUCCAAGGCCUACAUACCCUGCCCCGUACCAGUGCACUCAGGAGCUGUGUCCAUGCAGAGCUAUGAGCACUGGUGACACUCCGCCCAUCCAUAUGUCUGUCCAGGUCAUGUGUCCAAUUCCACGGCAGGAACCGUAACUGCAGGUGAGGGACUCUCCUUUGCUCCUACUGACCCCAUCCCUUCACCUUUUCCCUAUCCCUCCCCUCUAUUAUCAUCUCAUCGCUAUGGCGCUGUUACACCCCAACUUCUGCGUCACUCCCAUCUGACCCCAUCACCCUCUGUGUCCCCAGACACCAACACUCCUCUGAACCUCACAGUCAUUCAUGUGGUAUCAGUUACUGUCAACCUCCUGCUGUCUGCAGCCACCUUCUGGACCAUUAGGAAAGGUGAGGACUUGAGGGGACUGUGGGGGAUCCAUGAGGCUGCCACAGCUUUGAUGUGAGACUGUUUUUCUUACAGGUGCCUGCCGGGAGAGAUGCCGAAGGUGAGAAGUAAGGCUGGGAGGGGACGAUUGAGAGCAUUUGGGAACUUGGGGAAGUCCUUUUGCAGGGCAGCAUUAUCUGUGAGUUCCCCCAUAACAGGAAGGGACUGCCAUGGUGUUGGAGAAGGAAGGAUUUCCUCAUGGUAACAUUACUGAUCUCACGUGGAUGCCUGGAGGAUGAGGGAUUGCCGUGGGGUUGGAGUGAAUGCAGUGCCUGAUGCAAGGAGGCUUCAUCCAAAUGAAUAACAGUCCUGGCCCCCUGCAGCAAACACCCACCCCAAAUCCAUUUUCCCUUAAUCCACAGGCAGCAGCACGUUCCCAGCCAGCAGGUGCAAGCCACCGACUAUGGAGAAAUCCAGUGUGAGUGCUGGGCACCCCUUUUCCAUGGGGACCCCCUUCCCUUGGGCUCCCAUUUGCCAUCCCACCUGUCCCUUUCCCACUUGGACAUGCAAAAACCAUUUCUCAAGAGUCAGUUUCUCCAGGGUGCUUUCAUCACAGUGCUCAUAGUGACAAAUCCCAUUUGCACAGCAGGUCUCACACUUCACACUCUGCUGUUCUCCCAUCUACAGUUCCUCUCACUAUGGUGUUUGUUUCAAGCACAGACCAAAGCUCAGCCCUGCACUGGAGGAUAUUGCUGAGCACACAGACAGCAGUGGGGAAAUAUCUCAUAGAUGGCUCUGCAUGUGCAGGCAGCUGCAAAGGGAGGAUGCUGUGGUCAGGGAUGGGGGAUAUAACGCCACCACGCCUGCACCUUGCUCUGUUUGCAGCUUGAGUUUCAUUGCAGAGCAGCAGGCUCAGAUGUGCUGUGCAAAUAUAGAAAAUGCCUCAAAUGAUGGGAAAAUGCCCCCCCAAAGCCCAGCGUCUCUGGUCCUCCAAAUCUUCUUGCAGAGUGGUGCAAUGGGGGUGGACAGUCAGUCCAGAGCCCCGCGGGGUCUGCUGCCCAAACCAGUGGUGGGUCGCCCCCCUUCCCACAUGAAUACUGAGCACUCAUAGUGUGUUUUUUUUUUCCCCACAGCCUCAGCCAUUGCCCACUUUCGAAGGGACAAGGUGAGUCAGGGCCCUUCUCACCCAAAACUAAAGUGAUAUGCUCCACAGAAAUGGCCUUAUCAUUUUGGUACGCUUGCUCAUGCAUCUCUUUACUUGCACAAAAACUGCAAAUCACAAGGUUUAAUUUCUGAGUCACAAGUCACUCUACCUCAGUCUACAGCAAAUGCCUCCCCUUGUUUUCCAACCCAGAUCUGCUCUGACUUUUGCUAGCUGACUCCUGCCUGCUUCUCCAAUGCGUGCAGCUCCCUCCAGCGCUCCUGGAGCCUCCUUGUGCAGGGCUUGCAGGCUGCAGCUGCAAUAAUAGGGCUUUCCUUUCCCCUCCAGCCUCCCUUGAAGCAGAUGACCCGCAGCAGAGAUGCAUAGGCUUCAGCAUGCCAAGGCAACCAGGACUGCGUCACGACCAUUGUGUUUUCUUGCAGAGGGCUCUUGGGGCAGAACAUGGGGCUUUUGGGUUCAUGGGGUAUGCUCUCCCAUUAUUUCUAGCCACUAAGAUAUAUGACUUGCUUAUGUAUGGACCACCUAG